CCUACGGGAGGCAGCAGUGAGGAAUAUUGGUCAAUGGACGAGAGUCUGAACCAGCCAAGUCGCGUGAGGGAUGACUGCCCUAUGGAUUGUAAACUUCUUUUAUCUGGGAGUAAAACAGGCCAUGCAUACCGUCUUGUGUGUACCAUAUGAAAAAGGAUCGGCUAAUUCCGUGCCAGCAGCCGCGGUAAUACGGAGGGUUCGGGCGUUAUCCGGAUUUAUUGGGUUUAAAGGGGGCGGAGGCCGCAAGUCAAGGGUGCGGUGAAAUGUAAGGGGCCAACCCGGGCCUUGCAGUGGAAACUGGUGUGCUUGAGUGAGCGGAAAGCAGGCGGAAUUCGUGGUGUAGCGGUGAAAUGCUUAGAUAUGACGAAGAACCCCGAUUGCGAAGGCAGCUUGCUGGAGCGGAACUGACGCUGAUGCACGAAAGCGUGGGUAUCGAACAGGAUUAGAUACCCUUGUAGUC
rnacentral:rRNA from 1 species